CACGGGUUUACUCCUGGAUGUUACCGUUUCGUCCAGCCGGGGCCGGACGUCGUUUUGGUGUCUGAUUCGGUAACCGAAUCGGGAGCACCAUCUGCGUAGGC
rnacentral:sRNA from 1 species